UACAGAGGUCCCAAGCGUUGUUCGGAUUCAUUGGGCGUAAAGGGUGUGUAGGUGGCGCCGUAAGUCGGGUGUGAAAUCUCGGGGCUUAACUCCGAAACUGCAUUCGAUACUGCGGUGCUUGAGGACUGGAGAGGAGACUGGAAUUCAUGGUGUAGCAGUGAAAUGCGUAGAGAUCAUGAGGAAGACCAGUGGCGAAGGCGACUUUCUGGUCUGUAACUGACGUUGAGGCGCGAAAGCGUGGGGAGCAAACAGG
rnacentral:rRNA from 1 species